rnacentral:lncRNA from 1 species
CAUGAGUUAAUUAUGUAUUAAAGGAGGCUGCCGAAUUUAAUGAGGUUUAAUUUAUGUCUUGACCGAAUUUAUUUUGUGUCUGCAGGUAAUUAAUUCAGCUGGAAACAACUACUUAAUGGCAAAGGAGACAUGCAUUUAAGUUGCUGUUCUACAUGCAAGGAACGGCAUUUAAAGGGAAGCAAAGACAUGAAUUAAAUGAGGUGUUCCCAUGCAUGGACGGCAUUAAUUAGUUGCUGGAGCUUGCAUGCAUGGCAUUAACUAGCUGCUGAGUUAAUUUUUUUUCAUGUUCAACAGCAGCAAUAAAGGAGGUGUUGGCCGAAUUUAAUGUAAAGCAUAGACAUGCAUUUAAGGUGCUGUUGGGCAUGCAAGAUUCGUCCAUUAAUGAGCUGCUGAAGUAGGUGCUAUUUUCGUGAACAACAAAGGGCUGUUGGUUGGUUUUUCCAAGUAGCCAUUCGGCCAACAUCAUGCUUGGCGUUUUCUCUCUUCAAGGCCGAACUUUACACUACCCAAAGAAGCUUUUAAAGCCAUUUUAAAGUAUCAAGGCCGAAUGGGGACUAGUCCAUAAAGUUCUCCAUCAAUGUCCAGCCGAAUCCUCUCAUUCUAGAAGUUAUUUCUUUUCAGAUUUCUAAGCCAAGUGACCUAGGAAACUACAAGGGACGAUUAAUGAAGCUUCCAAGCAAUUUCAACUUAAUUAAGCUGAACUAAAACUGUCCAUUUAUCUACCUUUUGUGACCAUUCGGUUUGACAUUCAAUAUUAGCUAUAAAUAGUUGCUUUGUAAUCAUUUUCGGGUUAGACAAUAUAUUUUUAAAACUUAUAUGAAAUUUGUUUACUUUGUGAGUUUGUUUUCAACUCUCAUUGUUCUCCAAGGACUGGUUAGACUUAUCAAGUAACCCUUGUGGCGUCAACUCGUUUUUGUAUUUCGAACUUAUCACUUUGCACCCAAAGUGUGGCGUUCAAGUUAUACCGAGGUUCCUAUCAUCUUUGAUAGUGGGUCAAGGUUCCAUUUUAUUCGUUUUCCAUCCAUACAACAUUUAACCUUUCCUAAGUAUUCGUAUAAGUCCCGGGUUAACGCACUUAUAUUGUGUUGGUUCAACUUGAAUACUUGGUUUUCAUUCACCUAUCAUCCUCAAUACAUUUCAUAACCCCUUUUGAAAUAAAUUUGAGCCUUUAUCUCUUCUUUCUUAACCUAUUUCGUCCACCCUCGAGUAUUACUCCAAUUCACGAUAGGGCACAUCUAUGACUCGACUCUCCUUCCUGAGCCAGGGCGUAUCAUUUGGUAUCAGAGCUAGCUGAAUCAGAGUAAGAAUCGAAGUUAUCGGCAUUUCGGUAUUGUAAAAAAAAGGGAAAAAAAUUAAAAAAAAUUUGAAAAAAAUUGUAUUCAAUUUAUUUUCUUGUCUUCUUUUGUAUUCAGUACUAAAAAAAAGAGAAAUUCAAAAAAAAGAAAAAAAAAGAAGUUUCAGAAGUAAAAAAAAUUUAGAAUUAAAAAAAAAAGAAGAGGUCAUAGUUGGAUUGUAAAAGCAUUGCUUGAUGCCCGAAGGACCUUAUCUAUAUAGCCACACUUAACCAUUUCUAGUUUGUUUGAUAGCCUACCAUUGCUGACAUCAUUACCUACCAAGCCAAAUAAAUUUUGUAAGCCGACGCCAAACGGUAUUGAUUCGUCAAUUUAGUUUGCGAAGAACUUCGAGAGGUGAAAAAUCGAGUGGAAAAAGGCAAGAGUGAUUGGUGUGAGUUCAUUCGAGAGAAGAAAAGCCAAAAGCGAGCGUAAACACGAGUGGAGUGAAAAUUUUCUUUCCGAGUGACUUGCGAGGUUUUGUGGUGAGGUAUUUACUUUCUAUUUUAAACACUUAUUCUUUUUAGCAAAAAAAUGUCUCAAGAAGAAUUUUCCGAGUCAGAAUUCCAAUAUUUGAUGCAAGAAGUGCGUAGAAUAGUGAAAUCAAAAUUUGAUAAAUUGCAUAAUCGAUUGGAUCGAAUAGAGAAAAGAGCCCAACGAAAGCAAAUUUCAUCGAGUCAAGAGACGGAGUUAAGAUCAUCUCAACGACACUACUUGACAAGAGACUCUUAUCAAGACUUCUAUUCAACAAUGCGUUCGAGACCAAGAGAAGCAAACUCCGAGUUUGAGUCCUUUCGAGAUAAUAAACGAAAAGGUAAACAUGUCUCUACAAGUGCCUCAAUUUAUUCAUCUACGAAGGAUUAUUUACGAAUAGGCGAACGUGUUUCAAGAGUGUCAAAGUACUCGGCUACGGAAGAUUUAUUACAAAGAGAUGAUUGUCAUUUGUAUGAAGAAUCCUUUUCUUAUUCUCAACAAAAGGAUUCUCAUUUUGAUGAUUUCUACUUUUGUAAUGGAAUUGAAAUAGCAUGUGAAAAAGAAAAAGAGCGCGAGCGAGAAAAUGAAAAAGAAAUGAAAGAAAAAGAAGAUGAGUGUGAGAUAGAAAAGAAAAUUGAAAAUGAGAUUGAGAAUAAAACGACUGUGAAAAAGAAAAGAAAACUGAAAAAGAGAGUGAGAUUGAAGGAAGAAAUGAGAGUGCAAAAGAAAUGAGUGAUAUGGUAAAGGAAAGAGGAUUUGAAAAUGAGUUGGAAAAAGAAGUAAGCGAAAAAGAUGAAAGUGAACAAGAAAGGAGUGUUGUUACUAACCAUCCUAUGAAUUUUCCUUGUUUUGUUUCUACUUUUCAGGUUUCUCGAAAUCCCAUCGAUCAAUUUCAACUUCAAUACUUUUCUGAGGAGAGACGAUUUCGAUUAGUCGAGAAAGGUAAAAUCAUAGAUGACUCUAUUCCACCAGCGCCUAAAGGUAAGCGUGGUAAGGGUUCUAUGUUAGUCGAACUUCAACAAAUUCAUAUGCAUGAUAAUGUUGAGAUUGCUGAAGAAUUAGUUAGUAGAAGACUUUCCUAUCCUGAUUUGUCUAAGUAUCAAUUUUUGAUUGGUAAUGACUUUGAUUGGGAUGAUGGAUUGAAAAGUUUUCCUCAUGAUAUUUCUGAUGUUUACAAGUUUGAUGAUGAAGCCAGAUUAAAACAACACAAACAAAAUUUGGGAUUGUGUGAUGAAAAGUUGACAUCUAAUCUGUUUGCUUCUGUUGAUCAUGUGAAUUAUCUAAUUUGUGAUUCUGAAAAUUGCUCCAUGUCGUGGUUUAAAAGGUUUGAACAUGUUUUGCAUAAUCAUUACUUAAAAUUACAUCGUUUCCUUUUUAUGAUACCGAUUUUGAAAUUGUCAUAUCAAAUUGGAAUGGCAAGAGGAAACUUUGUUUUUGACCCUGGUGCAUAUCAUUUUAAAUUGUUGUCAAAAGGAUUCGAACUAUGGGAAGUUGACUUCAAAAAUUAUAGCUAUCAAGUGCCUUGUGACCCAGGUUUGUUGCAAUUAAUGAAUUUUUUAAUUCAUUUUGAUAAGGUAAGACCAACUUCUACUUUUGAUCCCGGUAUUGACACAUAUGUUCACUUGUUGAAUAAGAUCUUUAAAAAUUCUUUUGAGUUUAUGAUUUCUAGUGUCACUAACCUAUCUCUUUCUUGUGUAGGUGACACUUCAGAAUGGUUCCCUCCAAAAGAGGGAGCGCGUGAAAAUAAUUCAAAAUUUUCUCGAACCAUUCGUGAUUUUCAAAGUUUUGGAAAUGAUUCUAUUCGGAUCAUGAACAAAAGGGUUCGAGAUCUUGAAAAAAUUUUCUCGAGCAAAUGGCCCGAUUUGAGGACAAAUCGCCUUAAAGAGGGAGGGGAUGAUACGACCACGGCCUGGGCACAUUUUUCGAUCAGCUCCAUAAGUAUUUCUUGCACACCCAUGCGAGCUAAAUUAGCUCAAUUGCAUCUCACUGAGCUUUGUUUAGCUCGUUUCCAGCUCAAUGGGAUCGUUUUGCUCAAUUUGAGUUUAUUUUAAUUCUUUUGAUUUCAUUUGCUGAAAUAAAUUGAAUAAGUUAGUUUAUUUAUUUAAUUCAGCUCAAAUAAGUGUUAGUAAAUUAAUAUGUUUAAAUCUGAACAUCUUUAAUAAUUUUUUUAGUUUAAUUGAUUGUGUUUUAUUUAUUACAUCUAUUUAAUAUGAUGAAUUUAUUAAUGUUUUUUAUUAGUUUCAGCCGAAUUAAAGAGUAGUAUUAAAUGUGUCUUAAGUUCUUUAAAAGUGACGAAUUUAUUGUUGUUUUUAUUGUCCAGCCAAAAUUAAUAUGUUAAUUAACUUGUUUGUUUCAUGCAUGAGUUAAUUAUGUAUUAAAGGAGGCUGCCGAAUUUAAUGAGGUUUAAUUUAUGUCUUGACCGAAUUUAUUUUGUGUCUGCAGGUAAUUAAUUCAGCUGGAAACAACUACUUAAUGGCAAAGGAGACAUGCAUUUAAGUUGCUGUUCUACAUGCAAGGAACGGCAUUUAAAGGGAAGCAAAGACAUGAAUUAAAUGAGGUGUUCCCAUGCAUGGACGGCAUUAAUUAGUUGCUGGAGCUUGCAUGCAUGGCAUUAACUAGCUGCUGAGUUAAUUUUUUUUCAUGUUCAACAGCAGCAAUAAAGGAGGUGUUGGCCGAAUUUAAUGUAAAGCAUAGACAUGCAUUUAAGGUGCUGUUGGGCAUGCAAGAUUCGUCCAUUAAUGAGCUGCUGAAGUAGGUGCUAUUUUCGUGAACAACAAAGGGCUGUUGGUUGGUUUUUCCAAGUAGCCAUUCGGCCAACAUCAUGCUUGGCGUUUUCUCUCUUCAAGGCCGAACUUUACACUACCCAAAGAAGCUUUUAAAGCCAUUUUAAAGUAUCAAGGCCGAAUGGGGACUAGUCCAUAAAGUUCUCCAUCAAUGUCCAGCCGAAUCCUCUCAUUCUAGAAGUUAUUUCUUUUCAGAUUUCUAAGCCAAGUGACCUAGGAAACUACAAGGGACGAUUAAUGAAGCUUCCAAGCAAUUUCAACUUAAUUAAGCUGAACUAAAACUGUCCAUUUAUCUACCUUUUGUGACCAUUCGGUUUGACAUUCAAUAUUAGCUAUAAAUAGUUGCUUUGUAAUCAUUUUCGGGUUAGACAAUAUAUUUUUAAAACUUAUAUGAAAUUUGUUUACUUUGUGAGUUUGUUUUCAA